rnacentral:rRNA from 1 species
AGAGUUUGAUCCUGGCUCAGAAUGAACGUUGGCGGCGUGGAUUAGGCAUGCAAGUCGUACGGGCCGCAAGGCCAGUGGCGCAAGGGUGAGUAAGGCGACGGCAACCAACCCCGUGACUGGGUAUAGCCGUGGGAAACCGCGGGUAAUCCCCAGCGACGUCCGUGGGAGGCAUCUCCCGUGGACCAAAGCCCCGGCGUCGCGGGACGGGCCGUCGUGGUAUUAGCUUGUUGGCGGGGUGACGGCCCACCAAGGCUGUGAUGCCUACCGGGCGUGCGAGCGUGGCCCGGCACACUGGGACUGAGACACUGCCCAGACUCCUACGGGAGGCUGCAGUCGAGAAUCUUCGGCAAUGGGCGCAAGCCUGACCGAGCGACGCCGCGUGGAGGACGAAGGCCUUCGGGUUGUAAACUCCUGUCGAGGGGGAAGAAGGCCGGGCGACCGGCUUGACUUAUCCCUGGAGGAAGCACGGGCUAAGUUCGUGCCAGCAGCCGCGGUAAGACGAACCGUGCGAACGUUAUUCGGAAUCACUGGGCUUAAAGCGCGUGUAGGCGGGACGGCACGUCGGCCGCUGAAAUCCCCCGGCUCAACCGGGGAACGGGCGCCGAUACGACCGCCCUGGAGGGACGUAGGGGGACCUGGAACUUCCGGUGGAGCGGUGAAAUGCGUUGAGAUCGGAAGGAACGCCCGUGGCGAAAGCGAGGUCCUGGACGUUUUCUGACGCUGAGACGC